AACCUCACCAGGACCGGACACCGGAAAGAUUGACAGAUUGAGAGCUCUUUCUUGAUUCGGUGGGUGGUGGUGCAUGGCCCGUUCUUAGUUGGUGGAGCGAUCUGUCUGGUUAAUUCCGAUAACGAACGAGACUCUGUCCUGCUAACUAGGCGGGUAAACCCGGGUCGGCGUGUGCGCGGCGCUGGCGGUUUCGGCCGUCAGUGUUCGCGUACCAGUCGGCUCGGCCCGGUAUCCCCGAACGCGUUCGCCCGUCGUCCACGGCGGUCGUCGGGCGCGGCCGCGCCAUCCGCGUCCCGGCGUUCGGCGGGCGUAUGUCGGCCGGGGGGCAACCUCCGGUCGGCCUGCGUCCGUCGUGCGUCGGGCUCCGUGGUGAAGCGCGCCGUGUUCGCGGCCGUCGCCGGCGGAUCACGAUACGUUACUAGGGCUACCGCCGGCUCCCAGGAGCUUAAACUCUUCUUAGAGGGACAGGCGGCGGACGAACAUAGCCGCACGAGACUGAGCGAUAACAGGUCUGUGAUGCCCUUAGAUGUUCUGGGCCGCACGCGCGCUACACUGAAGGAAUCAGCGUGUUUAACAAUCCUGGGCCGACAGGCUUCCGGGUAACCCGCUGAACCUCCUUCGUGCUUAGGGAUCGUGGCUUGCAAUUUUUCCACGUGAACGAGGAAUUCCCAGUAAGCGCGAGUCAUCAGCUCGCGUUGAUUACGUCCCUGCCCUUUGUACACACCGCCCGUCGCUACUACCGAUUGAACGGUCGCAUUGAGGUCUUCGGAGUGGACGCGCGUUAUUCGGCCCCCUCGGGGGCUG
rnacentral:ncRNA from 1 species